rnacentral:rRNA from 1 species
CCUACGGGUGGCAGCAGUGGGGAAUAUUGGACAAUGGGCGAAAGCCUGAUCCAGCCAUGCCGCGUGUGUGAAGAAGGCCUUCGGGUUGUAAAGCACUUUCAGUGGGGAAGAAAGCCUUGGGGCUAAUACCCUCGAGGAAGGACAUCACCCACAGAAGAAGCACCGGCUAACUCCGUGCCAGCAGCCGCGGUAAUACGGAGGGUGCGAGCGUUAAUCGGAAUUACUGGGCGUAAAGCGCGCGUAGGCGGUCUGAUAAGCCGGUUGUGAAAGCCCCGGGCUCAACCUGGGAACGGCAUCCGGAACUGUCAGGCUAGAGUGCAGGAGAGGAAGGUAGAAUUCCCGGAGUAGCGGUGAAAUGCGUAGAGAUCGGGAGGAAUACCAGUGGCGAAGGCGGCCUUCUGGACUGACACUGACGCUGAGGUGCGAAAGCGUGGGUAGCAAACAGGAUUAGAUACCCGAGUAGUC